rnacentral:tRNA from 1 species
GGGGAGAUACUCAAGCGGCCAACGAGGACAGACUGUAAAUCUGUUGGUAUACACCUUCGCAGGUUCGAAUCCUGCUCUCCCCACCA